UAGGGAAUCUUCCGCAAUGGACGCAAGUCUGACGGAGCAACGCCGCGUGAGUGAAGAAGGAUUUCGGUUCGUAAAACUCUGUUGUUAGAGAAGAACAGCGCAUAGAGUAACUGUUAUGCGUGUGACGGUAUCUAACCAGAAAGCCACGGCUAACUACGUGCCAGCAGCCGCGGUAAUACGUAGGUGGCAAGCGUUGUCCGGAUUUAUUGGGCGUAAAGCGAGCGCAGGCGGUUAGAAAAGCCUGAAGUGAAAGGCAGUGGCUCAACCAUUGUAGGCUUUGGAAACUGUUUAACUUGAGUGCAGAAGGGGAGAGUGGAAUUCCAUGUGUAGCGGUGAAAUGCGUAGAUAUAUGGAGGAACACCGGUGGCGAAAGCGGCUCUCUGGUCUGUAACUGACGCUGAGGCUCGAAAGCGUGGGGAGCGAACAGG
rnacentral:rRNA from 1 species